UAUGAGAAAACAGAAUAAGUACUAUUUCACAUAAAGUCAAAAUAUGACAAAACAAGUAGCAUGAACAAAAAAUAUGACAGAACAUGGUACUGUACUAUUUCAGAUACAUUUUUUGCCACAAUUUAAAAAAUAUGACAGAAACAAGCUGUAGUUUCUACUUUCUACCUGUAGUUAGCCACAAAAACAAGCUGUAGUUUCUACUUUCUACCUGUAGUUAGCCUUGAUACUAGGAACCAUACACAGGAAGAACAAAAACAAGCUGUAGUUUCUACCUUCUACUUUCCACUUAAGAUACAUUCAUUCAAGCAAACACAACAAUUGGACAAAUAUUCUACGUGGAUAUGCUGGUUCAGCAUGUUGUCGUCUUCCUCUUCUUCCUCAACAUCUUCUACCAUGAUCGGUGUUGCCUGCCGCUGCCUGAGCGACUUGAACCAGCACCACCUCGUCCCGACGUCGCGACGACCUGCUUGCCACGACGAUCCUGGGCCCUCACUG
rnacentral:lncRNA from 1 species